UACGAAGGGUGCAAGCGUUACUCGGAAUUACUGGGCGUAAAGCGUGCGUAGGUGGUUUGUUAAGUUGGAUGUGAAAGCCCCGGGCUCAACCUGGGAACUGCAUCCAAAACUGGCAAGCUAGAGUACGGUAGAGGGUGGUGGAAUUUCCUGUGUAGCGGUGAAAUGCGUAGAUAUAGGAAGGAACACCAGUGGCGAAGGCGACCACCUGGACUGAUACUGACACUGAGGUGCGAAGGCGUGGGGAGCAAACAGG
rnacentral:rRNA from 1 species